GGAUAGUUGGCCGAGCAGGUUAAGGCGCUAUUUUGCUAAAAUAGUUGUGUUAAAACACUACAUUGGUUCGAAUCCAAUACUAUCCG
rnacentral:tRNA from 1 species